rnacentral:rRNA from 1 species
AACGCAGCGAAGGGCGAUACGUAAUGUGAAUUGCAGAAUUCAGUGAAUCAUCGAAUCUUUGAACGCACAUUGCGCUCUCUGGUAUUCCGGAGAGCAUGCUUGUUUGAGUAUCAGCAAAACACCCUCAGUUCUCUUUUUGAGAACUGGACUUGAGUUAGUCCCAACGGCGGUUUCAAAAACUACUGGCGGGUCGCUUGAAAUGCAGGUGCGGCUGGACACAUCUUCUGAGCUAUAAGCAUUACUUAUUUAAUCCCGUCAGACGGAUUAUUUCUACUGCUACAGCUAAUAUAAAGGUCGAUUGUCCGUUUGCCCGACUGAUGUAGAAAAAACAGAGAGAAAUCUUUGUUCACUCGAUCUCAAAUCAAGUAAGACUACCCGCUGAACUUAA